rnacentral:rRNA from 1 species
UACGGAGGAUGCGAGCGUUAUCCGGAUUUAUUGGGUUUAAAGGGUGCGUAGGCGGAAUAUCAAGUCAGCGGUAAAAAUUCGGGGCUCAACCCCGUCGUGCCGUUGAAACUGAUGUUCUUGAGUGGGCGAGAAGUAUGCGGAAUGCGUGGUGUAGCGGUGAAAUGCAUAGAUAUCACGCAGAACUCCGAUUGCGAAGGCAGCAUACCGGCGCCCAACUGACGCUGAAGCACGGAAGCGUGGGUAUCGAACAGG